rnacentral:rRNA from 1 species
ACGCUGGCGGCGUGCCUAAUACCUGCAAAAACCCAGCGGCCAGAUGGGAGCUUGCUCCCUGAUGUUAGCGGCGGACGGGUGAGUAACACGUGGGUAACCUGCCUGUAAGACUGGGAUAACUCCGGGAAACCGGGGCUAAUACCGGAUGGUUGUUUGAACCGCAUGGUUCAGACAUAAAAGGUGGCUUCGGCUACCACUUACAGAUGGACCCGCGGCGCAUUAGCUAGUUGGUGAGGUAACGGCUCACCAAGGCGACGAUGCGUAGCCGACCUGAGAGGGUGAUCGGCCACACUGGGACUGAGACACGGCCCAGACUCCUACGGGAGGCAGCAGUAGGGAAUCUUCCGCAAUGGACGAAAGUCUGACGGAGCAACGCCGCGUGAGUGAUGAAGGUUUUCGGAUCGUAAAGCUCUGUUGUUAGGGAAGAACAAGUGCCGUUCAAAUAGGGCGGCACCUUGACGGUACCUAACCAGAAAGCCACGGCUAACUACGUGCCAGCAGCCGCGGUAAUACGUAGGUGGCAAGCGUUGUCCGGAAUUAUUGGGCGUAAAGGGCUCGCAGGCGGUUUCUUAAGUCUGAUGUGAAAGCCCCCGGCUCAACCGGGGAGGGUCAUUGGAAACUGGGGAACUUGAGUGCAGAAGAGGAGAGUGGAAUUCCACGUGUAGCGGUGAAAUGCGUAGAGAUGUGGAGGAACACCAGUGGCGAAGGCGACUCUCUGGUCUGUAACUGACGCUGAGGAGCGAAAGCGUGGGGAGCGAACAGGAUUAGAUACCCUGGUAGUCCACGCCGUAAACGAUGAGUGCUAAGUGUUAGGGGGUUUCCGCCCCUUAGUGCUGCAGCUAACGCAUUAAGCACUCCGCCUGGGGAGUACGGUCGCAAGACUGAAACUCAAAGGAAUUGACGGGGGCCCGCACAAGCGGUGGAGCAUGUGGUUUAAUUYGAAGCAACGCGAAGAACCUUACCAGGUCUUGACAUCCUCUGACAAUCCUAGAGAUAGGACGUCCCCUUCGGGGGCAGAGUGACAGGUGGUGCAUGGUUGUCGUCAGCUCGUGUCGUGAGAUGUUGGGUUAAGUCCCGCAACGAGCGCAACCCUUGAUCUUAGUUGCCAGCAUUCAGUUGGGCACUCUAAGGUGACUGCCGGUGACAAACCGGAGGAAGGUGGGGAUGACGUCAAAUCAUCAUGCCCCUUAUGACCUGGGCUACACACGUGCUACAAUGGACAGAACAAAGGGCAGCGAAACCGCGAGGUUAAGCCAAUCCCACAAAUCUGUUCUCAGUUCGGAUCGCAGUCUGCAACUCGACUGCGUGAAGCUGGAAUCGCUAGUAAUCGCGGAUCAGCAUGCCGCGGUGAAUACGUUCCCGGGCCUUGUACACACCGCCCGUCACACCACGAGAGUUUGUAACACCCGAAGUCGGUGAGGUAACC